UACGUAGGGAGCGAGCGUUGUCCGGAUUUAUUGGGCGUAAAGAGCGCGUAGGCGGCUUGGUAAGCCGGAUGUGAAACCCCCGAGCUCAACUCGGGGCGGCCAUUCGGAACUGCUAUGGCUAGAGUCUGGUAGGGGAACACGGAAUUCCUGGUGUAGCGGUGAAAUGCUUAGAUAUCAGGAGGAACACCAGUGGCGAAGGCGGUGUUCUGGGCCAGUACUGACGCUGAGGCGCGAAAGCGUGGGGAGCGAACAGG
rnacentral:rRNA from 1 species